CUCACCAAAGCCAGUUCUCACUCCUCUCCUGCUAUCACAUCUGUUUCCAUGGAAAUGGACACCAGCUCAACUAAAACAAGGAUUAAAGAACCACUAUGUCUAGACACCCAGGAGCUUUGAGGAUUUCCUGAGCCUGUUUUGGCUUGUUUAUUGUGCUGUCUCACUUGGAGGCUACAUCAACAAUCAGUAUGGUACCCUGGGAAAAAGAUGGAAAAGGAACCACUCUAUGGUGGGUUAUAGGAUGUAAAAAAGAGAAAGGGCAUACCAUCCAGUCAUGGUUUUCUCAUCUUGACAUGGUAGCCUUUAGGAGCAAACUCAGACUGUAAUGGAUGUCAUUUCCAUAGACACUUGGACAGAACAGCAAGAGAUCAUCCUUUUUACAGUUGAUGUUUGUGUGCAUGCACAGCACUGUAUGUAGAAGACAGAAUUUUAAAUACCAAAUGAAGUAAAACACUGAAGCACUGA